rnacentral:misc_RNA from 1 species
GAUGAAGAACGCAGCGAAAUGCGAUACGUAAUGUGAAUUGCAGAAUUCAGUGAAUCAUCGAAUCUUUGAACGCAUAUUGCGCUCUUUGGUAUUCCGAAGAGCAUGCUUGUUUGAGUAUCAGUAAACACCUCAAAGCUUUUGGAUUUUUUAAUCGAAAAGCUUUGGACUUGAGCAAUCCCAACACCAAUCUUUUUGAGAUCGGUGGCGGGUUGCUUGAAAUGCAGGUGCAGCUGGACAUUCUCCUGAGCUAAAAGCAUAUUCAUUUAGUCCCGUCAAACGGAUUAUUACUUUUGCUGCAGCUAACAUAAAGGGAGUUUGACCGUAUUGGCUGACUGAUGCAGGAUUUCACAAGGGUCGGCAACGAUUCUUGUUAAACUCGAUCUCAAAGCAAGUAAGACUACCCGCUGAACUUAAGCAUAUCAAUAAGCGGAGGA